CCCUUAGAUGUUCUGGGCCGCACGCGCGCUACACUGUUCGACGCAGCGAGUCUUAACCUUGACCGAAAGGUUUGGGUAAUCUUCAGCAAAGUCGAACGUGAUGGGGAUCGAUCAUUGCAAUUAUUGAUCGUGAACGAGGAAUUCCUAGUAAGUGCAAGUCAUCAGCUUGCGCUGAUUACGUCCCUGCCCUUUGUACACACCGCCCGUCGCUACUACCGAGUGAAUGGUUUAGUGAGAUCUCUGGAUUGACGCUGGCUAGGGGGCGACCCUUGGCCAGACUGUUGAGAAACUGCUCAAACUUGAUCAUUUAGAGGAAGUAAAAGUCGUAACA
rnacentral:rRNA from 1 species